rnacentral:rRNA from 1 species
AGAGUUUGAUCAUGGCUCAGAUUGAACGCUGGCGGCAGGCCUAACACAUGCAAGUCGAACGGUAACAGGAAGCAGCUUGCUGCUUCGCUGACGAGUGGCGGACGGGUGAGUAAUGUCUGGGAAACUGCCUGAUGGAGGGGGAUAACUACUGGAAACGGUGGCUAAUACCGCAUAACGUCGCAAGACCAAAGAGGGGGACCUUCGGGCCUCUUGCCAUCAGAUGUGCCCAGAUGGGAUUAGCUAGUUGGUGAGGUAACGGCUCACCAAGGCGACGAUCCCUAGCUGGUCUGAGAGGAUGACCAGCCACACUGGAACUGAGACACGGUCCAGACUCCUACGGGAGGCAGCAGUGGGGAAUAUUGCACAAUGGGCGCAAGCCUGAUGCAGCCAUGCCGCGUGUAUGAAGAAGGCCUUCGGGUUGUAAAGUACUUUCAGCGGGGAGGAAGGUGUUGUGGUUAAUAACCGCAGCAAUUGACGUUACCCGCAGAAGAAGCACCGGCUAACUCCGUGCCAGCAGCCGCGGUAAUACGGAGGGUGCAAGCGUUAAUCGGAAUUACUGGGCGUAAAGCGCACGCAGGCGGUCUGUCAAGUCGGAUGUGAAAUCCCCGGGCUCAACCUGGGAACUGCAUUCGAAACUGGCAGGCUUGAGUCUUGUAGAGGGGGGUAGAAUUCCAGGUGUAGCGGUGAAAUGCGUAGAGAUCUGGAGGAAUACCGGUGGCGAAGGCGGCCCCCUGGACAAAGACUGACGCUCAGGUGCGAAAGCGUGGGGAGCAAACAGGAUUAGAUACCCUGGUAGUCCACGCCGUAAACGAUGUCUACUUGGAGGUUGUGCCCUUGAGGCGUGGCUUCCGGAGCUAACGCGUUAAGUAGACCGCCUGGGGAGUACGGCCGCAAGGUUAAAACUCAAAUGAAUUGACGGGGGCCCGCACAAGCGGUGGAGCAUGUGGUUUAAUUCGAUGCAACGCGAAGAACCUUACCUGGUCUUGACAUCCACAGAACUUUCCAGAGAUGGAUUGGUGCCUUCGGGAACUGUGAGACAGGUGCUGCAUGGCUGUCGUCAGCUCGUGUUGUGAAAUGUUGGGUUAAGUCCCGCAACGAGCGCAACCCUUAUCCUUUGUUGCCAGCGGUUAGGCCGGGAACUCAAAGGAA